rnacentral:rRNA from 1 species
UACGGAGGGUGCAAGCGUUAUCCGGAUUUACUGGGUUUAAAGGGUGUGUAGGCGGGUAUUUAAGUUAGGGGGGAAAUCUCCGAGCUCAACUUGGAAACUGCCAUUGAUACUAUUUAUCUUGAAUUUUGUUGAGGUAGGCGGAAUAAGUCAUGUAGCGGUGAAAUGCAUAGAUAUGACUUGGAACACCAAUUGCGAAGGCAGCUUGCUAAACAAAUAUUGACGCUGAGGCACGAAAGCGUGGGAUCAAACAGG